GACGAACGCUGGCGGCGUGCUUAACACAUGCAAGUCGAACGGGCCUGUCUUCUUUUUUGGGGGUGGGUUGAGUGGCGAACGGGUGAGUAUCACGUGAGUAACCUGCCCUUCGGUCCUGGAUAACCGCUUGAAAGGGCGGCUAAUACGGGGUGGUCCGGUUGGUCCGCAUGGGCUGGUCGGGAUAGAUUCACUGUUUUUGGUGUUUCGGCGGGGGAUGGGCUCGCGGCCUAUCAGCUUGUUGGUGGGGUGAUGGCCUACCAAGGCGGUGACGGGUAGCCGGCCUGAGAGGGUGGGCGGCCACACUGGGACUGAGAUACGGCCCAGACUCCUGCGGGAGGCAGCAGUGGGGGGUAUUGCACAAUGGGCGGAAGCCUGAUGCAGCGACGUCGCGUGAGGGAUGGAGGCCUUCGGGUUGUGAACCUCUGUUUCCGGUGGUGAAGGCCCUGUCCGUGUGGUGGGGUUGACGGUAGCCGGGGAUGAAGCGCCGGCUAACUACGUG
rnacentral:rRNA from 1 species